rnacentral:lncRNA from 1 species
AAGGAAGGGACAGCAAUUACAUACUGUACGCUGUUUGUGUACAGUUUGUAAGAGUGUGCCGGAUACGUAUAUUCAAUACAUAGAAACACAACCUAUUCACCUCUAUUCAUCUGUCAAGGAACAAACCUUUGCAACGGGCUGGCCAGUGUGAUGGGGCAUACGGAGAGGAGAGGCAAGAGAGGAGGCGUCUUUCAUUCAAUAGCUUGAAUACUGAUUUACUGUUGAGACACAGACAGGUGCAGUCUGCAGAUGUAUACUGUGUGUGGCCUACAGCACUGUAUACCGCAAGGGCUGAAUCACAGGAGGUUGGUGGCACUUUAAUUGGGGAGGACAGGCUCAUAGUGACAGCUUGAACGGAAUCAAUGGAAUAGUAUCAAAUUCAUCAAACACAUGGUUUCCAUGUGUUGGAUACCAUUCCAUUCACACCAUAUGAGCCGUCCUCCCCUCGGCAGCCUCCUGUGGGCUGUAUACUGUACAAGUGAUACUAUCAUAACU